AGUCGACGAGAGGACAUGGGAAGCUUGCUUCCUAUGGAAUCGAGUGGCAAACGGGUGAGUAACGCGUAAACAACCUGCCCUUCGGAUGGGGAUAACAGCCGGAAACGGCUGCUAAUACCGAAUACGAUCUUUUCGUCGCAUGACGAAAAGAAGAAAGGAUGGCCUCUAUACAAAGCUAUCGCCGAAGGAGGGGUUUGCGUCUGAUUAGCUGGUUGGAGGGGUAACGGCCCAACAAGGCGAUGAUCAGUAGCCGGUCUGAGAGGAUGAACGGCCACAUUGGGACUGAGACACGGCCCAGACUCCUACGGGAGGCAGCAGUGGGGAAUCCUCCGCAAUGGACGAAAGUCCGACGGAGCAACGCCGCGUGAGUGAAGAAGGUCUUCGGAUUGUAAAGCUCUGUUAUACGGGACGAAAAAGACGGAUGCCAACAGUAUCCGUCCGUGACGGUACCGUAAGAGAAAGCCACGGCUAACUACGUGCCAGCAGCCGCGGUAAUACGUAGGUGGCAAGCGUUGUCCGGAAUUAUUGGGCGUAAAGGGCGCGCAGGCGGUUCGGUAAGUCUGUCUUAAAAGUGCGGGGCUUAACCCCGUGAGGGGACGGAAACUGUCGAACUUGAGUGUCGGAGAGGAAAGCGGAAUUCCUAGUGUAGCGGUGAAAUGCGUAGAUAUUAGGAGGAACACCGGUGGCGAAAGCGGCUUUCUGGACG
rnacentral:rRNA from 1 species